GACGAAGGGGGCUAGCGUUGUUCGGAAUUACUGGGCGUAAAGCGCGUGUAGGCGGUUUCCCAAGUCGGGUGUGAAAGCCUUGAGCUCAACUCAAGAAAUGCACUCGGUACUGGGUGACUAGAGGACCGGAGAGGAUAGUGGAAUUCCCAGUGUAGUGGUGAAAUACGUAGAGAUUGGGAAGAACACCAGUGGCGAAGGCGGCUAUCUGGACGGUUUCUGACGCUAAGACGCGAAAGCGUGGGGAGCAAACAGG
rnacentral:rRNA from 1 species